CUGCUCUCUGCUAUUCUGUCUUCACAAGAGCCGUCGUUAGUAGGUGAUGGGACAGCCUGGAACCAGUGUGCCUGCAGGGCUCAUGGUGCCGUACAGAUCAGUGCAGGCCAGGGUUUCAGCCUGGAGACGACAACUUUAGUCUGCUUAGGGAAGACAGGUUUGAAUUUUGAUAUUUUUCUCCCCUCAAAAAGAAGUUGACAGACUUGGCCUGGCAGAGCUGUGAGAACUGAAAGGAGAUCACGUCCUGUGUGGUACCUGCCUCUCCCAUCAUAGGUACUCAGGAAAAUGGGGAGAUGGGCGUGGGUUGAGGCCCGAGAGUGCUGGAUUCCAUAGGACACACCUAAGGACAAAAAUAUCUCCCCAAGCCCGACAAAACCAUCGUAAAAUGUGUCCGUCCAGCACUCGCAGGAGCUACACGAAGAACAUGGAGGCUUACCAGAUGUUCUUAUCGAAGAACAUGGAGGCUUACCAGAUGUUCUUAUCUUCACUGCCCCAUUUCUGGGAACCUGGGACUCUUCCCUUGUUUGAACUCCGGGGCGUAUGAGAAUUCGCUGAUGAGAUGAGAUGAAGCCCUGUGGAGGUGGGACAAAGACUGAUACUCUGAAGAGAGGGACCGAGCUGGAAGACUAAGGGCUGGAUAGGCAGACCUGUCUCUUUCUGCAGCAGAGAUUCCAGGAAACCGAUUAUCAUCCUGGGCAGUUGCUCCCUCCCCUGCUGAGGCCUAUCUGAGGAGUGGGGUCUUGGUUGACAUUCCAAAUCUCACUCUGAAAAGUUCAAGGGAUGCUCCCUGCCUAGCUGCUGAGACAAGGAAAGCAAACACCAGGCCUCAGCUGAAUGGACUGCCUGCUGCUGCCGAGAAAGGUUCCAGUUGGAGACUGAGCCCUCCCAAGUGAAGAAACUCACUUCAAAAGCCACCGGUCCCGGUCUUACAACAAGCCAGUGUUUGUUAAAUUGAGCUUGAGGCGACACACACCCCAAACCCAUUUCCAGUUUGUGCUCAGGGGCAAGUCCUUGACCACACAAAGGGUGAGGCGCUUGGGGAAUUUGUGGACUGUCCAGUUGAUCAGAUAAAACCGGGGAGAAUCAGAAAGGAGGCUUUCAAGGUUUUACUACAAACAGCUGAAGCGCCCGCAGCUAAUCUGAGCUUUCCUUUCCCUCCCCGGGUGAAGUUUGCCUUCGGUAAACACCAGCGACUUCCCUCUCUGAAGCACAAAGACACUCUUCAUCUGAAUUCUAGAGAAAAAAAGAUCCGAAGCUAGCUUGAAAGAAGUGGAUUUCAACCGGGGAUGGACUGAUCUGUUUCCCGUUUCUUCUGCAUCUCAAUAAUACACACGAUGUAGCCAAACCCACGCUGACCAACAAAACUUAGUUAUACAGUAGAUUCAAACUGAGGCCCAGCUGAGACAAGACUUGCUAGACCUCCUUGAGGCACUCUGUCAUUCCUUACAUGUCAUCACAUUUAAUUAUAUUAAUCUUUGCCACAAGUAGUGGGGGGAGGGCGCGUAUUAUGACUCUUUGUCUAGCAACGGGGUUCAAGGUCUCUUAGCUAAUAUGAAACUCUAAAUGUUACCAGUUUCUAAGCCAAGGAUAUGUCCUUUUCUCAGACCAAUGACCUCCACCGACUUUCUAAAACGUUAGUUCUCUGCCUUUUGUUCUGUGGCUAACUCAGGCCCCCACCCCAUCUCCACCCCUGCACCCUAAACUAUCCUGAUCAUACUUACAUUCCCAGUCUCCCAUCCCUCUGGUCCUGGAUGCUUACCCCAGCUAGAAAUUAUAUGUAGGUCUUUUAAAGAAUUUUAAAAAUCGUAUUGCCUUUUUGCUUUUAUAUUUUGAAUUAAAAUGUUUCAAAGUU